CUAUUAUAACUAGAAUCAAAUCAUCCAAAAUUACCGAUAGUACCAAUGGAUAGUGUGAUAUAUCUCCGACAAGCUUCCAACCCAAUUGAGCUUCCGAUAAUCAUUUCAAUGCAUCUAAUAAUUAUACAUAUUACCAAUAAUAAUUCAAUUCCAAUAAUAAAACACAUAUUUAUAUAAUAUUCAUCACCAAAUAACAUUCACUUUAAUUAAAAUUAUACAGAAUAUAGUUCAUACGAACUUACCAGGCUAAAUUGCAGAAAUACCAAAAUUUAGGGAAAUUUUGGUAAUUUUCUAUUUUCCUCAAAUUUCCACCCAAUCUUGAUCUAAAUUAAUAUUUCAUUCAAUUUAUUAAUUUAAAUAAUAAAACGAUUCAUUUCAUGCAAUUUGGUCACAUUUUGACAUUUUUAAAAAAGUACACUAAAAAUUAUAUUUUUAUUCAAUUUAGUCCCUGAACCUAAAACAUGUAAAUUAGCUAUUUUUAAAAUAAAACCAUAUUAUCUGAAUAUUAAAAUCUAUUUUUCCUUCUCCUCCACUCCAUUCCACAUACUUGAUAUAUACAUAAUACCACUAUUUACUUGUUUACUCAUAACAAGUUGUUCACUUGAGUCAUAGUCACUAAACUAAUCAUAUCUUAAGCUACAAAACUCCGAAUUUAGAUCCGUAAUUUUUUUCUGAAACUAUACUCACAUAUAUUUUUACCAUAAAAUUUUUAGAAUUUUUGGUUUAUCCAAUAAGUACAUUUUAUUCUUUAAUAUUUCUCAUAUUUCACUGUUUAACAGUUCCAAUCCCUCUUCACUAAAAAUUAAUUAUCUCUUUGUACAGAAUUUGGAUGAUGUCUUCAUUUGUUUCUCUUGAAAAUAUACUCAUUAAGGAUUUUAAACAUAUAAAUUAUAACCCAUAAUUUUUUUUUACAAUUUUUAAUGAUUUUUCCAAUUCAGAACAGGGGAACCUGAAUUCAUUCUGACCUUGUCUCACAAAAUUUAUUUUAUCUCAUGAUUUACAAUUCCAUUACUUACACCAUUUCUUCUAUGAGAAACUAGACUCAAUAAGAUUUAAUUUAAUAUUUUAUUAAUACUCUAAUUCGAUUAUCACGAUUUAUGGUGAUUUUUAAAAUUUAAUCUACUGUUGUUGUUUAAAACUGUUUUAGUGCAAAAUGUUGAUCACUAAAUUUAUAACACCCUUAUUCCCUUUCUCUAUAAUAUUUUCCAUCACUUUCUUUUAUUUUCCUUCACUAAUAUAUAAAAAAACAUAAGACCUUAUAUAAGGAAACUCUACUAUAACAUCAUUUCCGUGCUUUUUCAAUAAUAUCACACUUAAAAAUAUGUUGAAAUCUUGAUGUUCUUACCUUGUCCUAUUGGUUUCAACCUUUAACUUGAUUUUCUCUCUCCUCCAGCUUCUAUUACUUGAAUCUAACUUGAUAUUCUAGCUCCCCAGAGUCUUCUUGUUAUCUUUCUCUCUUGAUGGCUAUAGAAAUUCUUUUGAUUUCUAGGUGAAAAUGGUAAAUUUUUUGUGGAAAGACCAAAUUGUAAAGAAAGCAAAACUUUCUUCUCUUCUCUUCUCUUCUAACGUGAAAUGCAUGGGAAGUAUAAUGAUUUCUCUUCAUCUUUCCUCCCGUUUAUAUUAAUCAUUUAAUAAUAAAAUAAUACUAAAAACCUUAAUAAAAUAUUAAUUAAAUAACAUUUAUCUAAUUAAUUAAUUAAAAUUAUCACCAACAUCAUCAUUACCUUCUAAAAUUAUCUCUUUAAUUGCCAUAGUUUUCCCUUUAUAAUCUUUUGAAAUUCUAUCCUUGAGUCAUCACUUAAUUUGGUAAAAUUAUAAUUUAGUCCCUUAAAAUUUUUCACAUUUUCAAUUUGGUCCUAAUUCAUCCAUUUACCUUAGUUUCUAGAUUAUUCCACCCUUAAAAUAUUUAAACUAUUGGUCCUUCAACUUUUUUGUAUUUACACUUUAACCCCUUAAAUUUUAAGUAUUUACUCUUGGGCAACAAAACUUUUCUCACUUUUACGAUUUAAUCCUUUCUUGAAUUAAUAUGUCAUAAUAUAUUUCCCAAUGUUGACAUAACUCAAAAUUACCCUUUUUAUCACUUUAUUUCCUUAUUUUACCAUAGCAGGGAUAUUAUCUUACUUUCUUACUAUAGUAUUUUUGGGGUAUUACAGUUAGACAAAUUAAACCAUGUGCUAAAUAGCCAACUCUUCUUUAACAUGAUCUUUCUCUUUUGCAUAAUACAUUAGGACAUCCCUAGUAGCUGUUUGUCUACUUAUAUUAUUAAAAUUAGAACUAACAAAUCCUGGUUCUUCAACUAUCCUAAAUGAAUGCUUACUACACACAAGAAAAGUUGAAACAGGUCGAUGACACUCAUUAGCAUCAAACUUGUAGGUUUUUAUAGAUGAAUCACCUCCUAAGGAUGGUUGAGUGGCUAUGGUGUAUUGAGUGAUGUCCUUAUUAAUUUUUUUCAAACAAUAGUUUAGAUGACGUCUUAAAUGGGAGGUUCUGGUAGAAGAUUUAGCAGAAAAGAUACUCUUACAGUGAUUACAUUGUGCCUUCAACUCGUUUUUGUUCUCACAUUCAAGCUUUGUUAUUUCACCCCACACCUUUGAAGUAGUAGGCUUUUGACGUUUGGAAACAUUUUCAUAUUCAUUAAACCCAUCAUCCACAUUUAUUGGAGUAUUCGACCUAGCCAUUGUCAUAAAAACUGAAGUCCUGAAAUCGUAAAAACUCAAUUAUUAUAUAAAAAACAAAAAAAAAGUUAAAACUAAACCUAUUUGUCCAAAUAGGAGAGCAGUAUUUCAAUUUAAUUAAAAGAAACUUAUUUGACAACUACUUGCAGGUAUAUUCACAAGCAGGUUACAUCGACUAUAAUUAAAAAUAUAAUAAAUUUUGGUAAAAAUUUUAGAAAAUAUAAUAAGUUUUUUUAGUGCUUAAAUUAUCUUUUAAUUUUAAAUGAGUUGCAAAUUUAACAUUUCAACUCUAAAGUUUAUUAAUUCUUUUACUUAAAAUUUAUUUAUUUAUUUAUUUAUUUAAAAAAAACUUCCUCCUAUAUUCAAGUGGUGAUAACAGGUGAGAAACAUAGAGGUAAGUUCAUGAAUAAGUUCCAUUUUCUCCUAUAUUUCCUUUUGUUUUAGAGGAAAACUACAAUUUCUUAAUUAGUAGUUUUUAUUCAUUUUUUACUAUUUGGAAUCAAGAUUUUCAAAUCCAAUUAUAAUUCAUACUAUUGUUAGCUAGGAAAUCAUCCACAAUUACUUUCAUUUUUCUUCCUGUUAAUCUUAUUACCAAUUACCAAAUUCUUUCUUCAACCUCAUCAGAUCAUCAAGAAAAAUGGUUGAACUUGUUGCCUCUCUUACUUCCAACACCAAAAAAAAAAAUUUGCUGUCAAGAUAAAAUUUACAAUAAAAAUAAAACAAAUCUUUAUUUUAGAUUUCAAUGUCAUAAGUCAUAACUAAAUGUUUUAUUUUUCUCUUCUUUCAUUUUAUUUACAUUGAAUUUAUAAAACAAUAAUAAAUCUUUUGGUGUUUCACACAUUAAAUGUGAUCAAUUUCAAUUAACGUUCUACUAUAUUGGAUAAUAAAUUAAUUUACAAUAUUUUUUGGAAUAAAGAACAAAUAUAUAGAGAGAGAGAGAAAUACCCUUAGUGGAAUCAAUUAAUUUUCACAAACAUGUCUGAGGAGCAUGCAAAUAUAUUCAACAAGUCUAAAAUUUAGUCAACAGUACCUAUCAAUAAUUGAUUGCUGCUUCAAUAGCUGUAAAAUCCUGAUUUUGGGCCUAGUCGGAACAGUGGUUUCGGGACCACAAAUUUGAUAAGGAAAAAAAUUUAAUUUAUUAUAUUUUUAUGGUCUACGAUUUCACAAAAUGACUUUGUGAAAAUUUCGUUCGAAAAUUUCGACGUUUGGACACUCAAUUUAGUCAAAAGGACUAAAUUGUAAAAAGUGUAAAAGUUGAGUUCUACAUGUUAGAGGUGUCCAAUUGUUAUGAAAUUUUAAAUUGGAGGUCCUUAUAUGGUAAUUAGACCACUGGUUAAGUUGGUAGACAAAAAUGGACAUGGUUAGGCAUGUUUCUAAAGUUUUUCAUUAAGGGCAUUUUGGUCAUUUAGUUAUUAAAAUGAAUUAAAAAAUUAAAAGACAAUUUUUCUCCAUCUUCAACCCCAUGGCCGAAUUUCACAAGGGGAAACCAUGGCUAGGGUUUUCCAAGCUUCCAGGCUCGAUUAUCAAGAAGAACAAAAUUCAGAGUUAGAUUGGGGAAAGAAAAAGGUUGAGGACUAAAGUGUUAGAUUUGAUCAUAUUUUGUACCGAAGUAAGUUUACAGUAAAUAAAUGCAAUAUUUUGAUAAUUAUUAUUAAUGCUAUUAUUUUUCAGCAAUUAUGUAUUUCUUUCAUGAAAAUAUCUAAUGUUAACUCAAGUAUGAGAUGACAGGGAAUCAGUGUUAAAAGGCCUCGUUGAAACAUGAGGAAUGUAUUGGAUACAAAUGUCAUAACAUUUGGGUAAAGAGAUCUCAUGUAAGCCCAUGUUUGGGACAUGGCAUUGGCAUCAUUGAGAUUAUGAGAGGUCCCAUGUAAGACCAUGUCUGGGACAUGGCGUUGGCACCGAGAUGAGAGGUCCCAUGUAAGACCAUGUCUCGGACAUGGCGUUGGCACCAAGAUGAGAGGUCCCCCGUAAGACCAUUUCUGGGACAUGGCAUGGGCACCUAUAUAAGAACUCUCAUGUAAGACCAUAUCUAGGAUAUGGCAUUGGCAGUACAAGAAACAUCCCAUGUAAGGCUAUGUCUGGGACAUAGCUUUGGCAUGUUAUAUUCAGACAGGAGACCGAGUAUCCUUAGUAUUCCAAGUGAUUCAACGGGCUAAUAAAUAGACGAUGUUACAUGAAAGUUCAGGUAAAAGCCUAAUAGACAAGUUCAGGUGAGUUAAUAAGAUUAAGAGUAUCUCAGUUAUCAGUUGAGAAAAGAAAUUUCAGCAACGAAUGAGUAAGUUAAGCAAGCAAGAAAGUAAAUGAGUAAGAGAGUAAGUAAAAAAGAAAGUAAAGAUCUUAAUGCUUAAUAAAAAUUUAUGAAUAUAAUUGUUUAUGAUAAAUGUUGUUAUUUAUUUACUUGUAAACUUACUAAGUUUUAUGCUUAUUUCUUUUAUUUAUUUUUCUUUCAUAUAGUAUUAUCAAGCAUAGUUGGGAUCUUGAAGACGUCGGAGAGCGUUCACACUAUCAACCACCACAACUCGGUAUUUUAAGAUGAUAAAUGUUUUGAGCUAUGGCGUGUAUAGGGACUUGGUCAUUUCGAUUGUAUAUUCUUAAGAUAUGGCCAAAAGAUGAUAUGUAAAUAUUUGAUGAUGAAUAGUUAUUAAAAUGGCUAAGUAUGAAGGUGUUUGUUGUUAUAAAUGUCUAGGUGAUAAAUUAUGCAUAGAAAUCAUGAAAAAGUAAAAAUUUGUACUGAAUCAGUUUUGAGACAACAGUAGUGACGUAAUUUUGAAAAAUCACCAAGGAUAGUAUAAAAUAAAUUAGGGGGUGGAUGAGAUAUAUAAUUAAAUCUUAUUGAUUCUAUUUUCAUAGAAAAAUAACGGUGUAGAUAAAGGAAUUAUGUAUUCUGAGAUAUUUGUAUUUUAGUUAGACAAGGUCAAAGUGGUUUUCAAAAUCCCCUUUUCUGACUUUGGAAAAUCAUUAAAAAUUGUAAAAAAAUAUUUAUGUGUUAUAAUUUAUAUUUCUAGAUUCCUUAUUGAGUUUAUUUUCUGUAGAAACAAGUGAGAACACCAUAUGAAGUUUGUACAAUGAGAUAAUUGAAUUUUAGUGAUGAGAGGUCAGGACAGUCGAUCAGUGAAAUAGGGGAGACUUUAACUAAUAAACUGUACUAAUUGGCUAAACCAAAAAUUCUAAACAAUUUAUGGUAAAAAUAUAUAUGAGUCUAGUUUUAGGUAAAAUUUACGGAUCUAAAUUUUGAGUUUCGUAGCUCGAGUUAUAGUUGAUUAAGUGACUUCUGCGAAAGUGGACAACCUUAUUAUGAACAGUGAAAUAACUUUUAAAAGUAUAUUUUUAUGCCCCGGACUUUUAAGUUAAGUCAAGUAAUGCAUCAUGCUCGACUCCAGAAAUGGUCUCGAGUAAGGGGUGUUACAUUUUAUUGGUAUCAGAGCAGGUUUAGUCGGUUCUCAGAAUAUUCAGUAUGAAUAAGAGUCUAGCUAUACAUGUCAUACUUAUAUAUUUUGAUAGUAUGACGACUUUUGACGAUUGUGAAAUGUUUUCUUUUAUAGUUAUGGAUCCGAAUGAGCUAGUACAAAUGAAUUAGAGAGUAAUGUGUCCGCUCCCGCAUAAGGGACGGUGCCACCAGAUGUUAAUGUUAGUGAAAGGCCCGUUACAGUUAGUCCGGGAAGAGGGGCUCGAGAAGCCUUCUUCCAUGCUAUGAAUGAAUCGUUUGCCGAGUUCGUUCGUACGAAUUCGGCUGUUAGAUCUCCACCCCCUCAUGAUUUUCAGAUUCCCCAUAUAGCUCCCCCAGUUACAUGUACAGGUACAGUUAUAAGAGAAAGGCCACCAGUUGAUAAGAUCAAAAAACAAGGGGCUGAAGAAUUUCGGGCUACUAAAGAUGAUGAUGCCGAGAAAGCAGAAUUUUGGCUCGAGAAUACUAUCAGAGUUUUUGAUGAAUUAUCUUGUACACCUGAAGAAUGCAUGAAGUGUGUUGUCUCACUUCUCAGAGAUUCAGCCUAUCAUUGGUGGAAGACUCUUGUAUCAGUUGUACUGAGUGAUAGAGUUACUUGGGAUUUCUUUCAGGAGGAGUUCCGUAAAAAGCAUAUCAGUCAGAGGUUUAUUGACCAGAAAAGAAAAGAGUUCAUUGAGUUAAAACAAGGUAAGAUGACUGUGACUGAGUAUGAAUGUGAAUUUGUCAGACUCAGCAAGUAUGCUCAAGAGUGUGUAUCUACAGAAGCUGUUAUGUGCAAAAGAUUUAAGGAUGGACUUAAUGAUGAUAUCCGAUUGUCAGUUGGUGUUCUAGAGAUAAAAGAGUUAGUUGUUCUAGUUGAAAGAGCAUGUAAAGCAGAGGAGUUGUUAAAAAAAGUGAGGUGAAGUUAAGAUUGAGGUUCCAGACACGAAGAAAAGGUAGAUGAGCAGAUCAUUUCAGUCAACAUCCAAGAGGCCUAGAGAGUUUUCUACUAGAAUGAAUUUUUCAGUCAGGUAUCCUAGCCGGAACAGAGGUAGAGGAUUUAUGGGUUCAAGAGCUCAGACUACUACAGUUGCAAGUGUGGGUAGUACUCGACCAUCUAGACCAAAAUUUGCUCAAUGUGGUAGACGUCAUCUCGGUGAGUGACGAGCAAAUGAAAAUGCUUGUUUCAGAUAUGGUGUACUAGAUCAUUUUAUUCGGGAUUGUCCUGAAAUAGUAAAAAGAGAAGCAAUAUUGAGUGCAAGAUUGGGAAAUGCUCCUACUAGAGGCAGAUCACAGAGGAACCCGGGAGUUGGAGCAAGUAACAGGGGUACGUCUAGAGACUCAGCAGCUAGAUCAAAUGUUAGAGCACCCGCAAGAACAUAUAUUAUUCGUGCUCGGGAAGAGGUAUCCUCCCUUGAUGUGAUUACGGGUACAUUUUCUCUCUAUGAUACUAAUGUUAUUGCUUUAAUUGAUCUGGGUUCGACUCAUUCCUAUGUUUGUAUGAAAUUGAUACCUAGUAUGAACAUGCCUAUAGAAUCCACUGAAUUUGUAAUUAAAGUAUCAAAUCCAUUAGGCCAGUAUGUGUUAGUAGAUGAAGUAUGUAAGAGUUGCCCUUUGAUGAUUAGAGGUAACAGUUUUUCGAUCGAUCUCAUGCUAUUGUCGUUUGAUGAGUUUGAUGUGAUUCUUGGUAUGGAUUGGUUGACUGCCCAUGAUGUGAUAGUGAAUUGCGGAAAGAAAUACAUUGAGUUGAAAUGUGAAAAUGGUGAUAUUAUUCGGAUUGAUUCAGAUGAGACAGAUGGUUCUCUCUCUAUGAUUUUUGUUAUGUCUGCUUAGAAAUGUUUGAGAAAAUGGUGUGAAGCUUAUCUUGCUUUUGUAUUGAACACUAAAGAUCUAGAGUUGAAAAUUGAAUCAGUUCCAGUGGUACGUGAGUAUUUAGAUGUGUUCCCGGAAGAAUUGCCAGGUUUGCCUCCUGUUAGAGAAGUUGAAUUUGGUAUUGAGUUGGUUCCAGGUACAACUCCCAUUUCUAUUGCUCCUUAUAGAAUGGCCUCGUUGGAAUUUAAAGAAUUGAAAGCUCAGUUGCAGGAAUUAACUGAUAAAGGUUUUGUAAGGCCUAGUUAUUCUCCGUGGGGUGCACCAGUGCUUUUUGUGAAAAAGAAAGACGAUUCAAUGAGGUUGUGUAUAGAUUAUCGGAAGCUUAACAAAGUAACAAUAAAGAAUAAAUAUCCACUGCCUAGAAUUGAUAAUUGAUUGACCAAUUGAAAGGAGUCACUAUGUUCUCCAAGAUAGAUUUGAGAUCCGGUUACUAUCAGUUGCAAGUUAAAGAUUUAGAUGUUCCGAAGACUGCUUUCCGGACUAGGUAUGGUCACUAUGAGUUUCUUGUGAUGCCAUUUGGUUUGACUAAUGCUCCUGCCAUAUUCAUGGAUUUAGUGAACCGAAUCUUUCGACUUUACUUGGAUAAGUUUGUAGUUGUGUUUAUUGAUGAUAUUCUGAUUUAUUCUCCUAAUGAGACUAAACAUGCCGAAUAUUUAAGAACAGUUUUACAGAUUCUAAAAGAUAAUCAGUUGUAUGCCAAGUUUAGUAAAAGUGAGUUCUGGCUUCGAGAAGUCAGAUUCCUUGGGCACAUUAUGUCAGGUGAUGGUAUUAAAGUUGAUCCGAGUAAAAUUUCAGCAAUUGUUGAGUGGAAACCACCCAAAAAUGUGUCAGAUGUUAGAAUUUUUCUUGGAUUAGCUGGUUAUGACAGAUAGUUUGUAAAGGGUUAAAGAUUUAGAUGUUCCGAAGACUGCUUUCCGGACUAGGUAUGGUCACUAUGAGUUUCUUGUGAUGCCAUUUGGUUUGACUAAUGCUCCUUCCAUAUUUAUGGAUUUAGUGAAUCGAAUCUUUCGACUUUACUUGGAUAAGUUUGUAGUUGUGUUUAUUGAUGAUAUUCUGAUUUAUUCUCCUGAUGAGACUAAACAUCCCGAACAUUUAAGAACAGUUUUACAGAUUCUAAGAGAUAAUCAGUUGUAUGGCAAGUUUAGCAAAAGUGAGUUCUGGCUUCGAGAAGUCAGAUUCUUUGGACACAUUGUGUCAGGUGAUGGUAUUAAAGUUGAUCCGAGUAAAAUUUCAGCAAUUGUUGAGUGGAAACCACCCAGAAAUGUGUCAGAGGUUAGAAGUUUUAUUGGAUUAGCUGGUUAUGACAGACAGUUUGUAAAGGGAUUUUCCAUGAUAGCGACCCCGUUGACAAGAUUGUUGCAGAAAGAUGUCAAGUUUGAAUGGACUAAGAAGUGUCGGUAGAGUUUUGACUAGUUAAAGGCAUUGUUGACAGAAGCUCUUGUUUUGGUACAGCCAGAACCGGGUAAAGAAUUUUUUAUUUACAGUGAUGCAUCCUUGAAUGAAUUAGGUUGUGUACUUAUGCAGGAAGGUAAAGUAAUAGCAUACGCUUCCAGACAGUUAAAGUCACAUGAGAAAAACUACCCGACGCCGACACAUGAUUUAGAACUAGCUACCAUUGUAUUUGUGUUGAAAAUCUGGAGAUAUUACUUGUACGGUGAGAAGUGCCAAAUAUUCAUUUGACAAGUUGGCCGAGUUGUAUAUUUCAGAGAUAGUCAGAUUGCAUAGAGUACCGUUAUUGAUUAUCUCAGAUAGAGAUCCGAGAUUUACUUCACGAUUUUGGAAUAAAUUGCAUGAAGCUUUGGGCACAAAGUUGAGUUUUAGUACAGCUUUUCAUCCUCAGACCGAUGGCCAGUCAGAGAGAGUUAUUCAGGUACUUGAGGAUAUGCUCAGAUGUUGUGUUUUAGAAUUUCAAGGUAGUUGGGAGAAAUAUUUGCCGUUGGUAGAGUUUGCCUAUAAUAAUAGUUAUCAGUCGAGUUUGAAGAUGGCACCUUAUGAAGCUUUGUAUAGACGUAAGUGUCGUACACCUUUGUAUUGGACAGAGCUUAAGGAAAAUCAGAUUUACGGGGUUGAUCUAGUCAAAGAAAUAGAAGAGAAAGUAAAAGUCAUUAGAGAUUGCUUGAAAGCAGCUUUAGAUAGACAGAAAUCCUAUGCAGAUUUGAAAAGAAAAGAGAUUGAAUUCCAAGUUGGUGAUAGGGUAUUUUUGAAAGAGUUGGGUCUUUAACAUAUCGGUUAGCUUUGCCGACUGAGUUAGAGAAGAUUCAUGAUGUAUUCCAUGUGUCUAUGUUAUGUUGUUAUCGUUCAGAUCCGCCACAUGUGAUUUCUCAGACAGUGGUUGAGAUUCAACUGAACAUUACUUACGAUGAAGAACCGGUAAAGAUAUUAGCUUGAGAGACUAAACAACUAAGGAACAACAGUAUUGCACUUCUAAAAGUAUUAAGGAAUAGGCAUGGGAUAGACGAGGCUACAUGCGAGCCCGAAGAGGCUAUGUGAAAAUAGUACCCAAAUCUCUUCACAUGUAAGAUUUCCGAGGAAGAAAAUCCCUAAAGGGGGAGAAAUGUAACAUCCUGAUUUUGGACCUAGUCGGAAAAGUGGUUUUGAGACCACAAAUUCGACGAGAAAAAAAAAAUUAUUUUAUUAUAUUUUUAUGGUAUAGGAUUUCACAAAAUGAUUUCGUGAAAAUUUUGUCUGAAAAUUUCGACGUUUGGGCACUCAAUUUAGUCAAAAGGACUAAAUUGUAAAAAGUGCAAAAGUUGAGUUCUACAUAUUAGAGGUGUCUAAUUGUUAUGAAUUUUUAAAUUGGAGGUCCUUAUAUGGUAAUUAGACCAUUGGUUAAGUUGGUAGACAAAAAUGGACAUGGUUAGGCAUGUUUCCAAAGUUUUUCAUUAAGGGUAUUUUGGUCAUUUAGUUAUUAAAAUGAAUUAAAAACAAAAUUAAAAUCCAAUUUUUGUCCAUCUUCAACCCCAUGGCCGAAUUUCACAAGGGGAAACCAUGGCUAGGGUUUUUCAAGAUUCCAAGCUCGAUUAUCAAGAAGAACAAAAUUCAGAGUUAGACUGGGGAAAGAAAAAAGUUGAGGACUAAAGUGCUAGAUUUGAUCAUAUUUUGUACCGAGGUAAUUUUACGGUAAAUAAAUGCAAUAUUUUGAUAAUUAUUAUUAAUGUUGUUAUUUUCAACAAUUAUGUAUUUAUUUCAUGAAAAUAUAUAAUGUUAACUCAAGUAUGAUAUGACAAAGAAUCAGUGUUAAAAGGCCCCUUUGAAACAUGAGGAAUGUAUUGGAAACAAAUGUCAUGACAUUUGGGUAAAGAGAUCCCAUGUAAGACCAUGUCUGGGACAUGGCAUUGGCAUCAUUGAAAUUAUGAGAGGUCCCAUGAAAGACCAUGUUUGGGACAUGGUGUUGGCACCGAGAUGAGAGGUCCUAUGUAAGACCAUGUCUGGGACAUGGCGUUAGCACCAAGAUGAGAGGUCCCCCGUAAGACCAAGUCUGGGACAUGCCAUAGGCACCUAUAUGAGAACUCUCAUGUAAGACCAUAUCUGGGAUAUGGCAUUAGCAGUACAAGAAACAUCCCAUGUAAGACUAUGUCUGGUACAUAGCUUUGGCAUGUUAUAUUCAGACAGGAGACCAAGUAUCCUUAGUAUUCCAAGUGAUUCAACGGGCUAAUAAAUAGACGAUGUUACAUGAAAGUUCAGGUAAAAGUCUAAUACACAAGUUUAGGUAAGUUAAUAAGAGUAAGAAUAUCUCAGUUAUCAGUUGAGAAAAGAAAUUUCAGCAACGAAGGAGUAAGUUAAGCAAACAAGAAAGUAAACGAGUAAGAGAGUAAGUUAAGAAGAAAGUAAAGAUCUUAAUGCUUAAUAAAAAUUUAUGAAUAUAAUUGUUUAUGAUAAAUGUUGUUAUUUAUUUACUUGUAAACUUACUAAGCUUUAUGCUUAUUUCUUUUAUUUCUUUUUCUUUCAUAUAGUAUUAUCAAGCAUAGUCGGGAUCUUGAAGACGUCAGAGAGCGUUCACACUAUCAACCACCACAACUCGGUAUUUUAAGAUGAUAAAUGUUUUGAGCUAUGGCGUGUAUAGGGAUUUGGGCAUUUCGAUUGUAUAUUCUUAAGAUAUGACCAAAAUAUGAUAUGUAAAUAUUUGAUGAUGAAUAGUUAUUAAAAUGGCUAAGUAUGAAGGUGUUUGUUGUUAUAAAUGUCUAGGUGAUAAAUUAUGCAUAGAAAUCAUGAAAAAGUAAAAAUUGGUACUGAAUCAGUUUUGAGACAACAGUAGUGACGUAAUUUUGAAAAAUCACCAAGGAUAGUAUAAAAUGAAUUAGGGGGUGGAUGAGAUAUAUAAUUAAAUAUUAUUGAGUCUAUUUUCAUAUAAAAAUAACGUUGAAGACAAAGGAAUUAUGUAUUCUGGGAUAUUUGUAUUUUAGUUAGACAAGGUCAAAGUGAUUUUCAAAAUCCCCUUUUCUGACUUUGGAAAAUCAUUAAAAAUUGUAAAAAAAAAUAUUUAUGAGUUAUAAUUUAUAUUUCUAGAUUCCUUAUUGAGUCUAUUUUCUGUAGAAACAUGUGAGAACACCAUAUGAAGUAUGUACAAUAAGAUAAUUGAAUUUUAGUGAUGAGAGGGUAGGACAGUCAAUCAGUGAAACACGGGAGACUUUAACUAAUAAACUGUACUAAUUGGAUGAACCAAAAAUUCUAAAAAAUUUAUGGUAAAAAUAUAUAUGAGUCUAGUUUCUGGGAAAAUUUACAGAUCUAAAUUUCAAGUUUUGUAGCUCGAUUUAUAAUUGAUUUAGUGACUGUUGUGCAGGUGGACAGCCUUAUUAUGAUCAGUGAAAUAACUUUUAAAAGUAAAUUUUUAUGCCUCGAACUUUUAAGUUAAGUCAAGUAAUGCCUCAUGCUUGACUCUGGAAAUGGUCUCGGUUAAGGGGUGUUACAAUAGUUAUUGGAACUUAAAGCAACGGGUAGUAGCUAUUGCAGAAAAUUACGAGUAAUGGAACUAAGGUUGUAGACUGCAGAGAAACCUAAAGCAACAGUGAUGACCGACGACUGGCGAGGAAAUGAAAAUCAGUAGAAGGUAGAGAAGCAGCAAUAGCGACAGUGGCAAAGAAACAAGUGAAAAGCUGCAGAACGAAGAGAAGCAACAAUGGUGGCAAUGGCAAUGAAGCAAGAAGCAAGGAAAAAUUGAGGGAUUAAGGAUUAAGGGGAAAUAGGGAUUUGAAAGAGAAAUGGAAAUGGGGAUACCGGGAUUGGAAUUUGGAAAGGGAAGUGGGGAACAAGGGUAAAAAUCUGUGGUUAAUAUAAUCAAGUUGGGCACGGGUUGAAAAAUCCUUGCCCGAAGCCCUGGCCAUUUUUAAAACGGGCCUCAUUCCUAAGCCUAAGCCCAUUUUUGGGCUAUAUUUUUUACCCAAACCCUCCCAUAUUUCAGGCGGGCCUUCAGGUCGAAUCGAGUGGCCCGGCCCAUGAACAGGUCUACUUUAGAGUGUUUUUCUAAAUUACACCUGAAAACGUGUCUACGUGGAAGCGCUUUAAAAAAAUUGGCCUAUUCCCGUAAUUAUUCCAAAAAAUGACAUAAUCUGGUAAAUUUUAAAAAAUAGCAUUUUUUGGUAAUUUAGUCUCAAUCUUCUCUACUUUGUCAAAUACCCCUUUUCAAAAGUUUACUUUGAAAAUAUAAUUUUUUUUAUAAAAAUGAUCCAAAUUUUUUUAUAAAUGACCCAUUUUAAAAAUUAUGUACGUAAAUGACCCAUUUUGAACACUAAACAUAGGUAACACCAUUGCCAUUGGCCUCACCACCUCUAGUUUUAAAAAAAAUUAUUUUUGGGUGUCGUUGUUGUAUUGGCAGCACCAGACUAAAGUAUAAUCAUACAAAACGUUCAAUGACCUGAUAAAGCAAGUAUCUUUUUAGAUUGGACGGAAAAAGGGGUGACAUCAUUCCUCCUACGGGAACAAUUAAAUGCUUUUAAACUUUUGAUCUAUUUGCAUGUUAGGUCUACCCCCUUUUGAAAUUAAAUUUAAAUAGCCCUUAAAAUAUAAAAAUAAAAAAAUAAACCAUUUUCAAUUUUUAUUAUUUUUGGAAAAGCAAUAAACUUAAAAAACAAUAUAAAAUUCUUAUUUAAAUUACCCAACUAUAUCCCUCAAAAAUUUUCCUCAAGUUUUAAAUAAGAAUUUUUUACUUGAGGAAAAUUCUUAAGGGAUAUAUUUGGGUAAUUUAAAUAAGAAUUUUUUAUAGUUUUUUAAGUUUAUUGUUUUUUAAAAAAUAAUACAUUUUGAAAAGUGUUAUAAAAUAAAGAGAGAUGGAAAGAAUAAAGAACAAAGAAAAUAUGAAAGCAAUAGAGAAUGUACUUUAUUGAUCAAAAGGGAUGAUUUACAAUACUUUAUUAGAGUCUCUAUUUAUAGGCAUAAGAAGUAUAAAAGAAAUAGAGAUCUAAUUUUAAUAACUAUUAGAGUUUAAAGUACAUCAAAACUUUAUCUUGAUCAUGAUGGACAUCCACUUAAUAAGAUAUUCAUAACACUCUCCCUUGGAUGUCCAUUGGUAAAUAAUGUGCCUCAUUAAAACCUUAUUAGGAAAAACCCAGUGGGAUAAAAAACCUAACGAAGGAAAAAGAGUACACAAUCUUCUAUUACAAGCUGCCUCGUUAAAAACCUUUACCAGGAAAACCCAAUGGGACAAAACCUUGGUUAAAGAAAAGAGUACAACUUGUUUUUAAACUCCCCCUAAUGACAACAUUACAUUACAUCUUUGAGUCGACGCAUUCCAAUCUUGUGUAGUAGUCUUUCAAAUGUUGAAGUUGGCAAUGUCUUAGUAAAAAAAUCUGCUAAAUUAUCACUAGAAUGAAUAUGUUGAACAUUUAUAUCACCUCUUUUCUCAAGAUCAUGGGUGAAUAAUAAUUUUGAUGAAAUAUGUUUCUUUCUAUCACCUUUAUUGUAACCACCCUUCAAUUGAGCUAUACAUGCUGCAUCAUCUUCAUAUAAGAUAGUUGGCAUCUUUUCCUAUAAAGGAAAAUUAUAUAUCUUCUGGAUAUAUUAGGUCAAUAACCUUAGCCAAACACACUCUCGACUUGCCUCAUGCAUUGCAAUUAUUUCUGCAUGACUUGAAAAUGCGGCAAUAAUGUUUGUUUUGUUGAACGCCAUGAUAUGGCAGUAACCCCACAUGUAAAUAAAUAUCCUAUUUGAGAUCGACCUUUAUGUGGAUUUGAUAAGUAUCCAGCAUCAGCAUAGCCGACUAAUAGGGAUUUUGAAUCAUUUGAAUAAAAUAACCCCAUAUCAAUGGUCCCUCUAAGAUAUCUAAAUACAUGUUUAAUUCCAAUGUCUACGUGUUGGAAAAGAACUAAAUCUUGCUAACAAGUUUACAGCGAAAGCUAUAUCAAGUCUUGUGUUAUUUGCAAGAUACAUCAAUGCCCCUAUGGCAAUUAGAUAUGGUACUUCAAGACCAAGAAACUCUUCAUCAUUCUCGCAAGGACGAAAUUGAUAUUUAUUCACAUCUAACGAUCGUACAACCAUCAGAGUACUUAAUGGGUGUGGUUUAUCCAUGUAAAAUUUCUUUAAUAUCUUUUUCAUAUAAGUUGAUUAAUGAACAUGAAUUUCAUCUUUUAAAUGUUCGAUUUGUAAGCCAAUAUAAAACUUUGUUUUUCAAAUAUCUUUUAUCUCAAAUUCUUUCUUUAAACAAUUUAUUGUAUUUUGAAACUCUUCAGGAGUUCCAAUAAUAUUUAGAUCAUCAACAAAAAGGGCAAUUGUCACAAAAUUUGAUCCAAACCUUUUUAUAAAGACACAUGGAAAAAUUAGAUCAUUUUUGUAACCUUCUUUUAACAAGUAUUCACUAAGACGAGUGUACCACAUACCUCCAGAUUGUUUUAAUCCAUAUAAACUUUUUUUUAAUCUGAUUGAGCAAUUUUCCCGAGAAACUAUAUAUCCUUCUGGGAUUUUAAAUCUUUUAGGGAUUUUCAUAUAAAUUUCACUAUCAAGUGUACCAUAUAAAUAGGUUGUAACAACAUCCAUUAGAUGCUUGUCAAGUUUUUCACGUACUACCAAACUAAUAAGAUAUCUAAAUGUGAUUGCAUCCACCACAGGAGAAUAUGUCUCUUCAUAAUCAAUGUCGGACCUUUGCGAAAAUCCUUAUGCUACAAGUCGUGCUUUAUAUCUUAUGACUUCAUGUUUUUCAUUUCAUUUUUUUGCACAAAUACCCAUUUAUAUCCUAUCGGCUUUACACCUUUAGGUGUUUGGACUACAGGUCCAAAAACUUCACGUUUAGAAAGUGAAUUCAAUUCUGCUUGAAUUGCAUCUUUCCAUUUUGGCCAAUCUUUUCUAUUUUUACAUUCCUCAAUAGAUUUAGGCUCAAGAUCCUCAUUUUCAUUUAUUAUUUCAAUAGUAACAUUAUAAGAAAAAUUGUUGUCGACAACUACAUUUUUUUUCGAUUUCAUCUUUUUCUCGUAUUGACAUAACUUAUCGAGAUCUCUUUAUUUUUAUCAUUUUCAAUUUCACUUUUAGGUACCUAAAUAUCUUCUUAAGUUUAUAAUUAGUUAUGUCAUGGGUCUCUUCAGGAACCCCCGCCUCUACUAUAUGACCAUCUUAAAUGUUUGCUCCUUUUCUUUUACGAGGAUUUUUAUCUUUGGAACUGAACGGUCUUCCAUGCUUCAGUCAUGGAUUACUUUCUUUUGCACUAGCAAUUUUCCCUAUUAAGACAUCAAUUUGGAACAUUUUCAGCUAGUAUGAGAGAUUUAAUGAAUUUGGAAUUGAUUUGUAAAAUUAAUUAUCUAUUAAACUUCUGGUUCACAUUACUUUGUACAAGGAUCUUAGACAUUGACAAUUCAUUUCAAGUACUUUAUUAAUCCAGCUUUUUAUCCUCUCCCCCUAAUAUUGGGAAAAUUGACAACUCAUGUCACAACUAAAUAUCGUAUUAAUAGCUCAAAAAUAUUAUAAGGAGACUCAUAUAAAUAUACAUUUUCAAUCUCUUAUUAUGACCCAUCUUUGUGCAUUGUGAUGGAGCAGUUGGAACAUAUAUCGCACAUCCAAAAAUUGUAAGAUGGGAAAUAUUUGACUCUUGACCAAAAAUCAAUUGUAAUGGGAGUAUUUAUAAGUUAUUAUCUUGAUGCGUACAACAUGUAAAUCUCAUGCUGAAAUAGGAAGUUUUGUUCUCAUAAGUAAUGGUUUAGCUAUUAGUUGGAGGCAUUUGAUAAACGAUUCAGCAAAAUCAUUUUGUGUGUGAACAUGAGUUAUAGGAUGUUCAACUUUUAUACUAAUUGACAUGCAAUAAUCAUUGAAAGCUUGUGAAACUCACCAACAUUAGCAAGAUGAAUUGUUUUAAUUACAUAAUCUGAAAUUAAUCAUUUAAACAAGCAAUCUCGCAAAUGACAGGUUGCGAGUUGAUAAUGCAUGUGAUUAUUUUGUAGAUGCAUCUACCAAAAUCAUAUAAUAUCAAAAUCAUCCACAGGGUGGAUGAAUAAGCCCUUAUUCAUUUCAGAAAUGUAAGACAUUAAAUCUCAACUUUAGCUAGUGAGUUUCUAAGAAUCAAUUUUCAUUGAAAACAAACAACAAAUGAGAUUUUUUUUUAAAAACUAAAGAAUCUGUUCUUUAAUAAAUGUCCAUAUAAAUUCUCAAUUGAUUUUCACAUCAUAUAUGAUCCAGGAUGGUCUAACUGGUCAUGCCAAAUAGUAAAUGUAUUUGUAUUAGUAAACUUCUAGUUUACUUCAACAUGUUUUUCAAUUGCACUAAUAAUAUAAACUUUGACAAUUGAUAAUUUUAUUGACAUUCUUUUUUAUUUUGUAUCCAUAUAUAAAUACUAUUGUGGCAUUUACUACUGCAAAUGUCUAAAUCAAUAUGAAGUCUAUAAUGUCACUAAGUCAAUAAGUAAAUAUAAUUUUCAAACAUAUGUAAUAUUUGCUCCAGGGAAUAUGUCAAAAUCUUCAAAUAUAAGACAUUUGGUCUAGUGGUAUGAUUCUCGCUUAGAACGCGAGAGCUCUCGAGUUCGAUUCAAAAUAUAAAUAACUCAAUCCCCGUUUGAUUCAUAUGAAAUAUAAUAUUUUCCUCAUUCACAAUCUCAAUAUAAGAUCCAUUAUGAAUAUCUUUUAAAACUAAUGCAUUAACCACCACAAACUUUGUGCUUUUUAGAUAUUGAUAUGUUAACUCUUGUAGAGCUUUCAACUAAUUCUGUACUAUCAGAUAUUAGAAUAUAUUUGUUUAUUUCAGUACCAAAUAAGAUAAAUAUUUUAUAUCUUUAAUGAUAAAAUUCAUUAUUACAUUCUCAUAUCCUUCCUUAAAGAAUAUUAACAGAGACAAAAUAUUGGGCAUACACCACAUAUGUGACCAAUAAUCUUUCAUAUCACAUUGAUAACAUAAGUUAUCUUUACCCUUUGAAAAGUUAUCUUGAGAACACUCAUUGUUCUCUUAUUUAUUACUAUGUUCUCACUUUUAGUGUUCCAUGAGUAUAUCUUUUAUUUUCUUUAUAUUUACAUUCACUUCGGGGAAUGCAACAAAUCUAGUAGGACAGACUUAUAAACAUCCUAAUAGAUUCUUUAUUUCAUAAUCACCAUCGCAAACAUGCGUGAGAUUUCAAAUUAAAAUUUAUCUAUUCAUGUUGUCAUGAUUAGUCUCCAAUUAUAAUAAACAUGAUAUAAUAAAUAAAACAUAGUAAAAAAUACUUGAAGAUUUUUAACAUCAUCGUCAUCACCUUGACUAUUAUCACGAACACUAUUACAAGAAGUAAAACAACUUUAUUUUUGUAAUAACAUUUUAUAAUCUAAUAGUAAAAAACAUUUAAUAAAUAAUCAAAAUUUUUAAGUACGAUGCUUGAAAAUUAUCCGAUACACAUUGUACCAAAUUUCAAUACCACAUAUAUGUUAUAAAAUCUUAUCUUGCUCUAAUAAAAUAUUUAUAUGUUCAAUUUAAAAGAUAUCAUACAAUCAUUCAGCAUUAGCAAGUUAAUAAGAAUAAAUAGAUCCUAUCAAAUUUCCCUUUAAUCAAUAACGGUAGGUUAAUAACACUUUCCACCAUAAUUUUAAUAAAAUUUCAAGAAUAUUUAAUAAUAAGAAUUUAAUAAUCAAAACAUCUAAAUAUUAUGCAUAAUAUAACUUAAUUAAAUAUUAUGCAUAAUAUAACUUAAUUAAAAAAACUUCAAAAAGAAUGAUUUACCGAAAAAAUAAUAGAGAAAACAUCCCAUAUUAAUAGCAAACAUAUCUAAUCAACAAUUAUAUCUUUUACAUAAAAAAAUUAACUUAGAAAAGAAAAAAUCAAAUACCAUCAGAAUGUGAAAUUUAUGUCAAAUAAAAAUUAAUAGUAGUCAUACCGUAAUUGAAAAAGAAAAUAUGGUCGAAAUAUAAAAGUUUCUUACCAAAUCUAUAAUUUACCAAUGCUUGUUUAAUAAAUCAAAGAUCGGGAAUAAGAACCAUAUUCCAUUCUGAGAUUGAAUCUUUCAACAUCCCGAAGAUAAAAUUGUAAGGGUAAAAGUUUAAGGUGAAAAAGAAUUUGAUCUGUGGGAUGACUUCAAACAAUUUUGAAAAAAAAUAUAGAAUUAUCGUGCUGAUAACGUGUUAUAAAAUAAAGAGAGAUGGAGGAAAUAAAGAACAAAGAAAAUAUGACAGCAAUAGAGAAUGUACUUUAUUGAUCAAAAGGGAUGAUUUACAAUGCUUCAUUAGAGUCUCUAUUUAUAGGUAUAAGAAGUAUAAAAGAAGUAGAGAUCUAAUUCUAAUAAUUAUUAGAAUUUAAAGUACAUUAAAAUUUUAUUUUGAUCAUAAUGAACAUCCAUUAAAUAAGAUAUUCAUAACAAAAAAAGUUUACUUUUGUUAUUUUUAUAUUUUUAAAGAUUAUUUAAAUUUAAUUUCAAAAAAGGUCAGACCUAACAUACAAAUAGACCAAAAGUUUAAAAGUAUUUAAUUGGUCCUGCCGAGGAAUGACAUCACCCUUUUGUUCAUCCAAUUUGAAAGGAUAAUUGCUUUAUCAUGUCCCUAAAUGUUUUAUAUAAUUAGACUUCAAUCUGGUGUUGCUAAUAAUAACGAUGACACCCAAAAAAAUUAUUUUUUAAAAUUAGAGGAGGUGACGCCAAUGAAAAUGGCGUCACCGAUGUUUACCGUUCAAAACGAGUCAUUUAUUUUAUAUAAUUUUUAAAAUGGGUAUUUUCGUAAAUAAUCAAACGCUUUUGGUCAUUUUUAUAAAUAAAAAGAAAGCCAAAAAUAUCCGACAGAACACAAGUGUGGUUUUGUCAUUUUCUGCACGUCAGCAUCAAAAACCGUGUUCCAUCGUUAGUUUCAUCCUUCAAAACCGACGUCGUCCACUCAGCCGCCUCCACCCCACUUCCACUCUUCUUCUUUAUUACUCAUAUAAAUCAAUCAAUCAAUUCUCUAAAAUUAUUUCCCAUCCCCCGAAGGAAAAAAGGAACAACAAUGUGUAGGUCUACGGAUUAUUACGACUUCCGGUGCGCCGAUCAAAACCUUUUAAAGAUCAAAGCUUUCUUCAUCCGAAUAUCGGGUUUCGAUUCCUUUUCAAAUUCUCUCACUCUACUCUACCCACCAAGGAUCAACGAAUCGGCGCUUCAAAUUUCAGGGGCUGCUAUCCGCUCUGAUUCCUCCUCCUUCUUAGUUCUCCAUCGGAUGGUUAAUGUCAAGACAAGGAGCGGAGAGGCAAUUUACGGGAGCAGGGAGCGAGUUCAGGCCGGUGAUGGGGUCUGCUUCGAUGUUUACUCAGGAGAGGACAAGGUGUUGAAAGGGAUUUUUAGAAGAGAGGAGCAAAAGUGGAAGAUGGAGUGCAAGUGCGCGCUGGAGACAAGGGAUGGGAAAACGGUCGGCGCUGAGCGGGCGGUGGCGGAUGUUUGGGUGGCGGUGGAGGGAGACAAGGCGAUGGGAGAGAGGGUGAGGGUGAUUGCGAGGAAGAAUAGGAGGGUGGGUUUUGAUCAGCUGGAGGAUAUUCCAGAGGAGAGUGAAGUGAGCGGUGAAUGUAGUUGCAGUUGUGUGGAAUCAGACGGUGGCGAUAUGGAAGGAAGGUGCGACGGAGAUUGUGAAGGGAUACAAGAUAUGUGUACGGCGGCGGAGGGAGUGAGCUGGGCCUUUGAUGUGGGCAUUUGGGUGAUGUGCUUGGGUGUUGGAUACUUGUUCUCCAGAGCCUCCGCCAAAAGUUUGAGACGGAUGAGAAUACUAUGACACUGUAAAUUGUAAACCAGAGGCACAAAACAGGCUCUCUGCCAAACUUUGGCCGUUCAUUAAUCUAAAUUUUGGAAUUUAGAAUGAUUAAUUUCUUCUCUCGGGUUCAAUUUUACUUUUUCUCUAUUCUUAUUCCGAAUUUAAAAAUGCAAAUGUAUGAAGCUCAGGUCAAUUAUAUUUCUUAUAUAGUUACUACUUGAAUUUAUUAUUUACCAUAAAAAUAUAUGAACUCGAAAUUUUUUAUUUUUCUAAAAUUAGAGGUGUUGACAUAUGAUAAUUUUAAUGAGGGUUAAUUGAUUAUUUAAGUUUAUAUUUUGAUAAUUAAACUUUAAAAAAUAUUAUAUCAUCAGUAAUGUUGUUAAUUUAUUACGUGAUUAUUGAAUAAUUCAUUUAACAAUGUAACGAAAAUCUAAUGUGAUAUUAAAAUGCAAUUGUUAUACACAUGAAAUCCACGCAAUUUUCACUUAUUUUCUUUUUGAUUUUUUGACUUCUUUUAAUUAUGUUAAACUAAUAUAAUUAUUUUAUUAACUAAAACCUAUUAUGUUACCGUAAUUAGUAAAAUACAUUGGAGGGUUUUUUAUUAAAAUAAUACAAAAAAAUUAAAAAAAAUAUCAAAAUAGUAUACUUUUUUUAUUUACUAAAAUGGUACAAAAAAACAGUUAAAUUUUUUUUUUUUAAAAAGCAGAAAUAUGGGGCAAAAAGGAAAAUAAUGAUUUGAAUGUUUCAAAAUUUAAUUUUAAACCGAAAAAAUCAAAAUUUAGGGGCAAAAAGGGAUCUUUUUCGAAAAAAAGUGCAGCAAACCGCCUUCGGCAAUUUGUCAGCGCGUAGAUCUCGAAAAGUUAUUCGAAAAAAAAAUCGUCUCAAUCGGACAACCGAGCCAAAAGUUAUGGCCUUUCAAAGUUUUUCAAGCUAAAAAUGAGAAACUGUUCAUCCACGUCAGCAAAUCACGUCCUAGAGGGCGCAAUUUGUGUCCACGUAAGCAAAUCGCGCUAACGUGGACGCGAUUUCCUGGCGCGUACCCUGACAUCGCGCUGACGUGGACGCGAUUUCGCGGAAAAUGGACCAUUCCGGUAAAUAAUUAAAUAAUUGGCCAAUUUCGGUAAUUUUUGAAAAAAAAAGGGCUUUUUUUGGUCAUUUUCCCUAAAAAAAGUAAACUAUUUUAGUAUUUUUAAUUUUUUUGUAUUAUUUUAAUAAAAAAACCCUACAUUGGAGCCUAACACAUUCUCCAGAGAAAAAUGAUUUUCAUUUCACUUCAAAGCGGAAAAAGUAAUUAAAAAAAUACUUUUCAUGUUCUCAGAGAUGGAGAGAAAAUCAAUGAGGUUUGAUUGAGAAAUCUGUUGAGGGGAGGAAUCUCAUUGUUUGAAAAUGGAUAAGUAGAUGCUUCAUUCAAGAAAUGAUUCAACUAUGACAUACGAUAUGUAACAGCCCGAUUUUGGGUCAAGUCGGAAUAGUGGUUUCGGGACCAGAAAUUGGAUGAGGAAAAAUGAAAUGACCUGUAUUUUUAAGGGUGUCGGAACGGUGAUUCGAGAUCACUAAAUCCGACAAAUGAGUAGAAAAUAUUAUUAAUUUAGUGAGUGUAAGUUAAAUGUGAAGUUAAGAAAAUUUUUGAAAUAGUGAAUAGUGCACUAGAAAUAAAUAUUAAAAUAAUUAGAAAAAACGAGAUAUUGAGACCUCAGAGAUUUUAAACCGAGCCAUAAAUAUUUUUAUAAAUAUUUAUGGAAUGUUAAAAAGUUAGUAUUAAAGUUUCGUUAAGAAAUUUUAAAGUUUCGAUAAUUAAUUGAAUAAAAAGAACUAAAUUGUAACAAAUGCAAAAUUAUGAGAAAUGAUUAAAUAGCUUAAAUGAUAAAAAGGAAGAGGACUUAAAAGACAAAUAGACCCAAUGUCUAUUUGGGCUGGACGGCAAAGGCAUGAAAUUAGUAAGAAAGUAACGAGAAUUAAGGGCUAAAUUGGAAUAUUGCAAAAUUACUUAAUAAAGCUAGGAUCCAAGUGGAAUUAUCUAGAUUUCUCUUUAUUUUUCUGCAUUCUCAUCAGCAAAAACACCAUAGAAGUGUUUCCUUAAGCUGGUUUUUCAUAUUUUUACUGCAAGUAAGUUCAAUUCUUGAUUAUUUCUUAAAAUUUUUGUGUUUUUGUGACUUUUACAACUAGGCCCACUCGUUGAAUUCAUUAGUUUUUGAUUCUAUGAAAGAAGUUGAAAGUUGCUAUGAAUAUGUGCUGCAAGUAUAUGAUGAUUUAGCAUGAAAUUAGAGCUUUAAAUUGUUUAUAUGCUGAUUUUAUUGAAAGAAUUAAACAGAAAGUGAAUGUUUGGGACCUAAUAGUAAAACAAGUUAGGGUUUUAUGAGGAAAUUCUGAAUUUCAAUAAUUAUGAAUAACUUAUAAUGUCUAGGUAAAGUACUAAUUUAGAAAGAUUAGCUUAAUUGAGGGGUUAAUUAAGCAAGGACUGAAUUGUAUGAACUGUGAAAUUUGGGGCAAAAUGGAAAUCAACAUUUUGCACUAAAACAGUUUUGGACAGCAGCAAUAGUUUAAAUUUGAAAAAUCACCAAAAAUUGUGGGAAUCGAAUUAUAGAAUGAAUAAAAUAUGAAAUUAAAUCUUAUUGAGCCUAGUUUCUCAUAGAAGAAACGAUGUAAGUAAUGGAAUUGUAAAUUAUGAGAUAUAAUAAAUUUUGUGAGACAAGGUCAGAAUGAUUUCGGGUUCCCCUGUUCUUACUUUUGAAAAUCAUAAAAAAUUUAAGAAAAAUAAUUAGGGGCUUAAAUUUAUAUAUUUAAAACCCUGAAUGAGUCUAUUUUUAAGAGAAACAAAUGGAAACAUCAUCCAAAUCCCUUACGAAGAGAUAAUUAAUUUUUAGUGAAGAAAGGUCGGAACUGUCUAGCAGUGAAAUAGGGGAGACUUUAAAGAAUAAACUGUACUUAUUGGCUAAGCCAAAAAUUCUGAAAAUUUUAUGGUAAGAAGAUAUAUGAGUCUAGUUUCAGAUAAAAUUAACGGAUCUUAAUUUUGAGUUUUGUAACUCAAGAUAUAAAUAAUUUAGUGACUCUGACUCGGAUUGACAGAUUUGAAUUUACUUAUAAGUAAAUAGUGAAAAUAUAGUUAAUGUUAUUUAAGCGUGUUAUAUACAUUAAGGAUGUAGAAUGGAGAGGAGGAGGAGGAAAAUUGGAAAACAUAAGAAUGACUUGUGUAUAAAUCGGUCAUAUAUUCGAUCAUAAUCGAUAAACGUUGAGUUAAAUGGUAAAUACGUAUUAGUAUUGAACUUAAUGAUAUUGAAUUGUAUGAGAAGUAAAUGAAAAUUUCUAUUGCUAGUGAUAUGAUUUGAAUUAAAAGAAUUAUUGUGAUAUUGAAAUGUAUAUUGGAUUGAGAAAUUAAUUUGAAUUGUUAACAUGAGAAAUUAUGAAUUGAAUGAAAUGGAAAUGAAGCAUUGAAUUGUUAAGACUUGUGAAUUGCAUGAAUAUAAAUCGGGUUUCGUAGGCCCUAUUUAUUAUGAAUAUAAUAUUUAGAGGAUAUAUUGUGAAGAAUUAUAAAAGCAUGUUAAAAAUUUGAAAGUUUUAAUUUAGAUGAAAUUUUAUAAUACGGUUAAAUACGUUUACAAGUGUAUUUGUUCUGGUAAUGCCUCGCAUCCUAUUCCGGCGACGGAUACGGGUAAGGGGUGUUACACGAUAACAAUGAAAUACUAUGUUACGAGCAGAAGAUUUUGGGCAGAAAAAGUAGGGUAGCAGGAAGAAGAAGAAAUAGAGGAAAAAAUCAUAAUAGAAGAGAAAAGACGAGUGUAUUCAUUUCAUAACUGCCUUCCCCUACCCUUGAUUGUUGCCUUUAGGGUGGGUAACAGCUUUUCAGACAAACGACGACUGUUAAUACAGCUGUAACAAAACGUGUCAUUUUACAUAAAAGACAGAACAUCCUUAAACGUUGUCGUUUAAGCCUAACGGACCUCCCUCCCUCCCCUUCUACACUGCUGGAUAUCUAUAAGGUCUUAUUUUGACUACCUACUCUCAUCAAUUAAUGGGAUUUUGUGGUCUUGUAGCCUUACCGGGGCAGCCCUUAGGUGCUUGAAACACAUCAUCAAAGUCUUCCAAAAGUUUCACCAUGUCUGGGUUCAUUUGAGCAGGAGCAAGGGUCUAAUCUGUUUGAACACUGGUUGCUAGUAACAUUGGACAAGGUCCUUGGCCCAUAAAGUGCAAACAUUUUGACAAUUGUCCCCCAUAAAUAAGUUGAAAAGCACCAGGAAUAAUCACUUGGAGAGUAUGGUUCUGACCCUAAUAUUCAAAUUGCAUGGCCAAUGAAGAGAAGUUCCACAUGAUAGAACCUAGGGAUAGCAUCCACUAGAUACCCAAGACAAGAUCACAACCUUUGACCAGGAGGAUCAUAAGGUCAGUAGUGAAUUCAUACCCCUGUGCCUUCCAUAGAACUGCUCGACAUAAUCCUUGAGUGGUCAGUCUCACUCCAUUAGCCACCAUUACAUGAAGCUAGCUAGGAUGUUCUACUGGUAAAUCUAACCUCUUAACCAACUUGGAAUCUAGGAAAUUGUGUGUGCUUCCAGAGUUCACCAACAUGAUAACAUUAGAAUAACCAAUCUUAGCUGAAAACCUCAUAGUGUUAUGUCCCUGUGAUCCUUGGAGGGCGUGUAAGAACCAGAUAGGGGUAGUGGAUUCUGGUUCUUACUCCAACACUUUCAAAUAUUCAGGGCAAUCUUGAAAUUCUUUAAUCACAGGACUUUUGCUUCCCCCUUCAUGGUCCUAAUAAGGCUCCACUAUCAGCUGAUACAACUGGGAUUUGGUACAGUUAUGGCCUGGAGUGUAUUUGGAGGCACACUAGAAGCAGAGUCCCUUCUUCCUUCUCUCAUCUAUCUUAGAUUGGGAAAGAGAUUUGGACUGAAACUUCUGUCUUAAGUUGCUAGUUGGAGGACCACUAGUUCCCCCCAAAUUACUGUGAUAUUGUUGUAUCUUUGAAACAGGAAGUAGGGGUCUAAGAUGACUUAUCCCCCCUCUUAUACUCACACUCUUUUUUGGAAAUUCAGUCACCAUGUAUUCGACCUGUUGAGCUAAUAAUUGGAAACCAUCCACCAUUGUUUGAGGUUUGAGCAGUCUUAAAUACUGCCUUAUCUCAGGUUUAAGGUUACAAGUAAACAUAGCAAGUGCAUAAUCUUCAGUCAAACGUAGCUGAUUAAGUAGACUUACAAAACGGUCAUGGAACUGGUCCACUGAGCCUUGCUACUUGAGGUAGAUAAGUCCUGACAUGGAUCUAAAAAGGAGUCAAAACCAUUACGGGCCUUCAACCCUCGAGCAUAAAUCUCCCAGGUCAGUUAUUGUAACCCCCUUUGCCUUUGCACAAAGAAAUGGUAUCAGUCUAAGGCUUUUCCCUCUAAAUGUAACAUGACCAUCCUAACUUUGGCUUGAUCUUCGAUAUUUUCAGCUUCAAAGAACUGUUCUAGCUUGAACCACGACCCCUGAAAAUCAUUCCCAUCAAAUUUUGGACAUUCAAACUGAAGUGUUUUGUUGGUAAAGUCCAGGAGACCAACUCGAGAAGGUGUAUUCGCCAGAUCUGAGGCAAGAGACAGUGCGAGGCAGGGAUUUAAAUUACGGUCGUGGUUGCGGUCGCGAUUUCGGUCGCGUCGCGUUUGUCGCGGUCGUGGACAUAACGGACGCUAUUGCGGUCACUGCGGGUAUCGCGAUCGUGAAUUUUUUUAAAAUUCGCACAACUUAUUAUAAAACAUAGUAAUUAUAAUUAUAAUUAUAAAAAGUCAUUUUUAAUGAUUUUUAGAGUUUUGAAUAUUUGGACUUUGAUUGCUUUUUGCUGUUUAUUUAGACUUCUUUUUCCGUUUUUUUUAAUAACAUCAGAUUGGGCUUUUAUUAAUAGAAUAAAAUUACAAAAACUGCACACUUAUAAUCCUAAGAAAACGGCCCAAAGUAGAUGGCCAAAGGUAAAAAAAUGUAGAUAUUUUUAAAGUAACUUCUCGAAUCAACAUUUAUUGCACUGAUUCCUUGUCCAAUCAGAAAUUGCUGAAAUCUGCCCUCUCUUCUUCCCAUCAUUUCAUUUUCAGUUUGACGAUUUCCUUUUUCAAAACUUUUCCAUUCGAACCGUUCCAUUUUCUUAUUGUUUUGAAGCUUUCUUCCUUCCGUUCUUCCUCUCCUGGUGCUUUCUAGUCUGGUUCACACAGCCAAUUGUAUCUUCUUUGUUCUUCAGCGUACUCAGGCCCUCAGGGACCUCCAUUUCCAGGUAUACCUCCUCUUUUUUGUUCUUUGUUCUUUUUCCCGUUAUCUUCUUUGUUCUUUGUUCUUUUUCCUUUUUUUGAUUGAACUGUGUUUCAGUGUUUCUGUUGAUUUUUGUUUAGAGGAGAUGAUUUUUUUUAAUUUGUUGUUAACGGAAAAUAAUGGGAGUAGCGGCCCAUUAUUGCCACAAUUGGCCGUUACCCGUUAAAUUGCGGCUGCGAUCCACCGCUAUCGGUGUGACUCUACUUCACACCGUUAUUUUCAGCAAUUGUGGUUUCAGACGGUGCCGCUACCACUAUAUAACGACCGCUAUUUCGGUAACAGACUGCUAUUUAAAUCCCUGGUGCGAGGGGUUCUUUGGGAGGGAACCUAGGUGGGGUGCCCCCCAGAAUACCUUUACACUUGUCUUGAGCUCCCCCAGCAACACAGGUAGAAGCCUGUUGGCCAAAGUAUUGCUCAAAAAGGGAACGGAGUUCAGUUCGAAUCUCUCCCUUUAAGUUUUCAUGAAAGUCCUUUAGUCGAGUGUCAAUCUUAAUAUCAAUCUGACUAACCUCCAACAGCAUCUGGGCAAGCUCGUGUUGUAGCAAGCCCAUUUAUUUCUGUAACCUGGUGGUGACCCCAUCAUUGGCCAUGAGAACCGACUGCAGCUUUGAUACCUUUGUCACGACCAGAAGAUUUUGGAUAGAAAAAGAAGCAGGGUAGCAGGAAGAAGAAGAAGAAAUAGAGGAAGAAAUCAUAAUAAAAGAGAAAAGACAAGUGUUUUCAUUUGGGUAACGACUUCUCAGAAAAACGACAGUUGUUUUGUAACAAAAUGUGACAUUUUACACAAAAGACAAAACAUCCUUAAACGUUGUCAUUUAAGCCUACCUGACCUCCCCUCCCUUUAAGCGCACCGUUUCAUUAAAGUAUCAUACUGAACGUUGCGUUUUACAGUAAUUAAAACUAAAACAAACACAAACAGAAAUUAACAGAAUUUUAAACAUGACCGUUGCCCUUAAUUCCAUUCCAUGACAUCUAUUAUUUUGAUUUUCUUUGGCUAUUGUUAAGUUAAAAAUUCUUGUUUUUACUUUUAUUUUCUUUUGUCAUUUAUUUUUAUCGGAUUGAAAUGCCAAAAAUUUAAUUCAUUUGAUUCUAAACCAUUUUCUUUUUGAAAAUUGUUUUAUGAUUUUAUGUUGUAAUGUUGUUGAAAACCCUAAAAAUUUGUUUUAUUUAAUUCUUUCAAAAAACCAACAAAUACAUUUAGAUUUGUUCUGACCUAAUUCGAAGGCCUGUUCGAAAAGUGAAGAGAUUUGAGCAAAAAUAUAGGCUCAAAAAAUUGACUUUAACAAAAAAAAUAAUGCCCGUUUUCUAAAUUAGUCGGGUCUCGGGUAAGUUCUUAUAAGCCCAACUCGAUCCGAAUUUGUAAAAAACAAAAGUGCUGCUGUUUUUUCAUUGUUUUGCUAUCAUUUCGUUAUUAUAUUGCUACUAUUUUGUUGUUAUUAUUUGGAUAUUAUAUAACUCUUAUUUAUUAUUAAUUUUUCUAUUCUUUUAGAAGUAUUUGCUUGCUAAGUUGCUUAUUUAAGUAUAUAUAUUUUAUUUUUUUCAUUUAUUGAGAAUGUUUUUAGUGUAUUUGAUGUUUUAUAUUUUUUAAAUUUAUUUUUAUAUAAAAAAUAAUAUAAAAAUUUAAUACGGGCGGGCCGAAUCAGGCUCAAAUUUUAACAUUUUUAUCCGAACCGGUCUAGGAUAAAAUUUUAGGCCCAUUUUUGAGCCAAACCUAGAAAAUGGGCCUAAUUUUUUAUUUGACCCGACUCGAACCCGGUCGGACCGACCCAUGGACAACUCUAGAUACAUUGCUUUUAAACCCAUAUUGAAAGUGUGUUGUUAUUAUUAUUAUUAUUAUUAUUAUGUGAAGAUACUUGAAAUAAACAUGAUUUGUCUGUAUGUUCUUUGAUUUUGUGAUGUUAUUAUUCUUUUGACUAUUGGUUGAAUUCUUUAUUCUUUUGACUAUUACUAUUCGAAUGUUGUCAUGUUUUUUGCUUUUUUAUCUCAUUAAUACAAAAAAAAAUUUAAUAACUUAAAUGGUAUGCCCACUAAAUUAUUUAUCAAAAUGGUAUGGAGUAAACAGUAACCACAGGCGGUGCCUGACAAGGUAGUGGCACCACCAAUUUUUUAUCCACCAUCAUCAUACAAUCAUUAUGCCAUAACCGGUUUGAAAAAGAAAACUAAUAUUUUAUUGGUCCUGCCACACUAUACGAUGGCACCAGUAUGUAUAACUUAUACCGAGUAAAAUACGAGGCAUUAUAUGGGUUAGAGGAGUUUGAAAAAAAUUAUUUUUUAAUGGUUGGAAAUGGAGUGUCAAGCGACACCACUAUUUGUAAAAAAAUAGGAACCCAUUUUUAAAAAAUAUACCUUGAAACCCUAAUUUGUGGUUGCCUUCUCUCCUUCCAACACCACAAAACCUUCUUCUCAUCUUUUCUCCCUAAACUCUUGUUUCCUUUUUUUUUAUUACACAAACCGCUUGCCUUGGCUGAAGGGACCAACCUAGUUUUUAUAAUGGGUAACAACUGGUUAUAAAAUUUACCCAUGAAUGCUUAACAGAAUGAGGUAUGAAGGAUGAAAUGCUGAAAAAUUCGAGCCUGAAAAAGAAAAAAAAUGGGGGACCCCGUAUUUUUUUAGAAAUAGUGGUUCUUAUUUUUUUUUUACAAUCAGUGGUGCCAUCUGACACUCCCCCUUUAACCAUUAAAAAUUAAUUUUUUUCAAACCCCACAUAGCCCGUAUACUACCCCGUAUUUUACCCGAUAUAAGUUAUCCAUACCGGUACUGCCGUAUAGGGUGGUGGGACCAUUAAAAUAUUUUUUUCCCAAACCUAUUAUGGCCUAAUGAUGGUUUGAUGAUAGUGGAGAAAAAAUAUGUGGUGCCUGUAACACCCCUAACUUGUCUUCGUCAUCGAAUUAGAGUUACGAAGCAUUACUAUACAACCGAAACAUUUAAACAUUAUAUCAUUCAAUAAUUUAAUCACAUCAUAAACCAUUCAUACACAUGCAUAUUGUCCCUAAAUCGAGCCCUCGGGGCCCUAAAAAUAACUUAGAAACAAUUCGAGACCAAUUUGAAACAGUUUAGAAAGUUUAGGAAAAAGAUGCAAAAUUUGCAAAACAUGGGUCACACGUCAUGUGGCCAGGCCGUGUGACAUAGCUCUAGGCCGUGUAAAUUUUGAACUAGGGACACACAGCCGUAUCCUAGCUCGUGUCCUCACCCGUGUAACUUUUUGAGUAGGGUCACACGACUGUGUCAUACGACCGUAUGCUAGGCCGUGUAACUCUCUGAGUUGCCCCACACGCUAGUGUGUCAGGUCAUGUGUUAGGCCGUGUAACUCACUGACUUGAACCUUAAGAAAUUCUCAGACGACACACGGCUGAGUCACACGCCUGUGUCUCAGGACGUGUGAACCCAAAAUGUACCUAAAAUCAAACCAUUUCAAAACCAUUUCAUGCAUAACUAUAUAAGCCAUUUGUGCACACAAUCAAGGGGUUCAAACACCAUUCAAACUUGCAUAAACAUACUAUUUCAAGCAUCCUAAUUUACCUAAACAAUAUGCCAUUCAAAGGCACCAUAAACAUACCAAAACAUUAUAUGCCAACACAAGUCAACAUUACCUUAUUUCAAACAUCAUAAUCUAACUCAAUUACUUACCAAAACAUACCUUAAAUUGACCAUUCUCAACUAUUACAAGCCUACCAAAAGACCAUACUUUUCAAUAACUAAAAGUGGUUAUUUAACAAGCAUUACAAGUCCAUCAUGUAACAUAAACUUUAAAAACACAAGUACACUAAAUCAACCAUUAAUACAUCCAUAAGUCAUCAAUACAAUAGACCUAUACAUGAUAAUAUUGUCAUUUCCAUACAUGAUAACCUAGCUCAUAUAUGAACUACAAGAUGUCUCAAGUAAUCAUUUCCAAGUCAUCAUCAACAUGCCAAGAUAACCUUAAAAACAAACACUUUAAAGUAACCAAAAUCACAUAACUUGGUAAGCAAUAAAAAAUGCAUCAAACCAACCUAGCUUUCCAAAGCUUAUACAUGCCAAAACACUAUUAACACAUACACCAUAAUACCAUUACAAUUCAUCCUAUACAAGCAAUUAUAAACCUUGACCAAAAUACUCAAAAACUACCAAAUUGCUUGUUGGAUAGUGUGAUAGGUCUCCUACAAGUUUCCAACCAAAUUGAGCUUUCGAUAAUCUAUAAAAUAAUGUAAGGAAAAAAUGUAAGCAAUGAAUGUUUAGUAAGCUCGUAUAAACUUAAAAUGUAACUUACCAUUUCAAUAAUAAAGUUUAUAUAAUAAGUAUAAACCUUACCAAUCCAUAAGCUUAAUAAAAGCCUAUAUAACACCAUCAAACUCACAAGUUAGUAUACUUGUUCAUGAUAUAUAUGAAAUCAACUAUGUAUAAACAUAACAUUUAAUUUAUCAUCGUUACUAUACGAUCAUGAUUCAUUCCAUUUGCUUAUUUACUAAUUCCAAUAUUACAAUUCAAAGUUAAACAUAAACCAUUAGCAAUACCAAGAGUAUAGUAUAAGCCUGUUCAAGCAUCAUCGAACUCAUAUGUUAAUAGGCUCAUCAACAACACAUAUAAACUCAUUUACAUCAUAAGUAGAAUUUCAUAAGGUACAUUACAUAAGCAUCAACCCUUUCAUAUAGUUAUGAACCUUUCCAUUAAGUCACUUACCGUUCCAUUCCUUUUCUUACCCGUUGAACCAUUUAGAAUUACAUCAGAUACUCGGGAAAGCUCACACGAAGUGUGCUUUUACAAAUAAUCAUAACAUUUCCUUUACAUUAGUGCUCACAAGAUUUGUAAAAUGGGUCUGCUCACACAAGUUGUGGGUCGGAAUGUAAGUUACACAAUGCUGCUCACACAAGCUGUGGAGAAUCCGCAAAAAAUGUAGCACCUCAUCCAUCGGUAAGACAUUCAAGACCAGCACCCAAAACAUGAAAUCCCUAAUGACAUGUCAUUUGUAUCCUAAGAAUUCCUAAGGUUCAACUAGGACUCGAUAUCUGUCAAUUCAUCAUAGCUUUGAUACAUUUAUAUUAUAAUUCAUUUACAUCAAGCAACAUAAUAAACAUUCAAUUUAAACAAUAUUUAAGUGAUUACAGUUCAUACGAACUUACCAGACUAAAUUGCAGUAACGACUAAGUACAGGGGCUAUUUGGUAAUUUUUUUCUCCUUGAUUUUCUAUUCGUAUAAAGUAGAGAUCUACUUCUAAUCACUAUUAGAAUAUAAAAUACAUCAAAACUUAUAUUGAUAUUGAUGGACAUCCACUUAAUAAGAUAUUCAUAACAACAACAAUAUAAAAUGACUAAAAAAUAACAAAGUUGUUUUGACUUAUACACUACAAUAGCCGAGACAAAUUUUUAACACUCCUCCUUGCUUCAGUUGAUACAAAUCAUGAGUUUUUCUUUGAAAAAUUCAAAUUUGCUUCUUGGCAAAGUUUUAGUACAAAUAUCUACCAAUUAAAAGAUUAAUAUUGUAGUACUUUUAUCCAGCUGAUCAUUCGUUUUGCGAAUUUUUGAGAAAGAAUAAUUUGAUAUUGAAAUGUUUGGUCUUCCCAUGAAAAUGGGAUUAAUUGAGAUAUCAAUAGCUACUUGGUUAUCUACAAACACCUCUGUGCAUUCUUUAUAAGAGGGCAACAUCCAUACAAAUCCCAAUAUGAUUCAAAGUUGUUUUGAAGGAGAAGACUCGAUGGCUUUAGACCGGAUCCUAGUGUUUUGGACAACAAGCAAUAUGAUUUUUUUAAGCUUUGGAAGAUGCUUUCAUGAUAUUUAAGAACACGAAAACAACAAGUAAUGUGAAUGAUAAUCAAGAUGAAGAUUUGAUUGUAGUGGUAAAUUUGAGGUUUUAUAUAUGUUGAUGGCGUGGUUUAAAUCUUAUCAUUUGCAAUUUUUAUUGAUUUUAUUUACAAAGUAAAAAAGACUAAAAUAUCUUCAUAAUAAUAUAUCUUAUUCUAAAUAUGGAGGUAGCUUGUAAUUUUUUCAAUCAAAUUGGUGUCUAAUUGACUUGUAACACCAACUUAAUUAAAAAUUUAAAUAAUAGUAUGAUGAGUGAAUCAUUCAUUAAGUUUAAGUACUGUAUUUAAGACAAUAACAACAUCCACUACGAUGUAAUUUAUUCAUUAUUGAAUAUCAUUAAUUUAAAUAUAUUUUUAAUAAAAUUAAUACAUACUAUUUGAUACAUAAAUUUAGCUUUAAUAUUAAAUUUGGUAUUUAAAUUUUUAUACAUUAUUAUAAAAAUUAAAAUAAAAUUACUUUAUAUUAUUUAAUUGCAGCCGAAUUGACCCAAUGAACUAAUCCGAAUCUAAAAAGCUAGUGGUAGAAUAAUUUAGUGGGACGGCUCUAGAGUUCUUGCCAUUUUAAGUAUGUCUAGAGCAAAUAGUAAUUUUAUAUUUUUUUUCAUUCUUCCAAUCAUUUCUUAUUUUUUAAAAUUCUAUCUAAUUUUUUGUUUAAUUAAUCAUAAGGUGAUAUUGUUUAAAAUUGUUUGUUAUACUGAAGUUUAAAGUGACAGUAACAUAGAGAUAAAAUGAAAAAUGACACAACAUGUGGGGUGGCAUGUAUGUAUUUAUGCAUUAAUAGACUCUCAUUGAUGUCAAGGUUCUCGGGUAAUGACGGUUGAGACUAAAUGUGAUGCAUUUGAGAGUUUUGAUAAACAAUGUUGGGAUGCUUUUGAUUUAUGAACAAAGUUGAACUUAAUUAAGCAUGUCGUCGACAAUAUCAACAUCAUUGUUUAUUAUGAUUUUAAUCUUAUAAAUUUAAUUUUUUUUAUAUCCCAAAUUUUCUGAUAACUUAAUAUAGUUUUAUGAGUUUAUUAAAAAAAUCAUGUUAUAAUACUUAGUAAAUUUGAGCCUAAAUUUUACCGCUAAAUAACUGGAGCGAGCUUUUCUUAUAACAAUUUUAUAAAAAAAUUACUUAUUCUAAUUUUUAAAAUAAGUAAUAAUAAUUGGUAACAUAUUAGCUAGAAUUUUUUAAAAGAUUUUAUACAUAACAUUAUUUUUAUAAUUUUUAAAAUUUUAAAUAUUUAUGCAAUGAUAAAAAUUAAUACUAUAUGAUAUAUAAUAUUUUUAUGGUAUUAAAAUAUAAUAUUUAAAUAACAUAUAUAUAAAGUAUUUUAUAAUAUUUUUAGAAAAUAUUAUUUUAUAAUAUUAUUAUAUUUAAUAGAAUAAAAACUAGUUUUAUUUAAGAAUACAAACAAUUAAUCCAAUCUGAUGCUAGUAAACCCCACUGUAUCGCUAAUCAUCUAAUCCACGUGUCAAAAACUCAUUCAUCUAAGCAUCAAACAGCGACGUCAGCAUCCACCCGAUUUCCUCUCUUUCCUUCACACCAGACGCCUUCUCUCUAUAUCGCAGCUAAUGGCGUCAACGGAUCAAAUAAACACUUGACCAAACAAUCAAUCAAUAAUUAGAGAAGAAAAGACAAGAGCGGCCGUUUUACUUCAAUUCUUCUGCCGGCGACUUUGAGUGACGAUUUCUAGGCGGCUAUUGGUUUUAUCUUCCAAGUGCGGUUUAAGGCUUCAGUGCAUGCGGAGAAUGGGAGGGAGUCGAGGUCUUUCGGCGAAUCCUAGCGACUACAAGCUUCUAGAAGAGAUUGGUUAUGGCGCCAGUGCUACUGUUUAUAGAGCGAUCUAUCUUCCUUUUAACGACGUUGUAGCUAUCAAGUGUUUGGAUCUCGAUCGUUGCAACAGUAAUCUGGUUCGGCUUUUUCCUCCUUAAUUGAUUUUCAGUUUUCGAUUUUUUUUUCUUUAUCUUUUACUGUUUCUAGUCAAAUAAAUGACUGUAACUUAAUUUGAUUUUAGUUAGUUAUGAUUAUAGAUGUUGUCUUACUAAAAUUGGAAAUGAUUGUGGGUUUCUCUGAUUGAAUUUCGUUUCUUUGAAUUCGGAGUAUAUUAGGUCUUGAAUUAUGAUUAAAUUGAAGUUCUUUCUCUUGCUAUUUGUUCCUUUUCGAAAAUUUCUAAAUUGAAAGUUGUUCCUUCCAUUGCUUAUGAGGAAGCUAGAAAAACCAACUUAAUUUGUUAUUCGAAUCAUACAAUUUAAAUAUGACCUUCCUUUUGUAGAAUCCGUUCUAUUUAUUUAGCUGAGGCAUUUCAAUGCUGAAUUGACAUUUGCUACUGCGCGUAAUAGUGUGUCCACAUUCCAUCAUCACUUAAAUCUAGGUAUCUUCCAUCGGGGAACACUUCACAACGCUGCCACCACUGAAUAUUUGGGAUUUUUCUUUUUCGUUUUUUUAUGAAAGUUUCUGUGAGUUUGUAAUAUGCACAUAGAGGAAUUGAAUUAUUGUGGAGUUGAUAUGUCAAGGCGAUGAUUAUGUUCUCACAGAAUUUUUGCUACACAAUUUGAGAAAAAACUGAGAGAUUAGAGUUUAAAUUUGUCACUUGUUUGUGGUGGGAUUAAAAUCCUGUUCUGCUAAACUGUUUUCUAAACAAAGGAGACAGCUCUACUCUCUUUACGUUUCUUCUCCUUUCCUUAGUUUCCUCUUAAUCCAAACAAAGCCUUAGUUCUGAUUCAUGCAUAUUCAACUUCUGGAAUGUUUGUUGUUUUGUAUAUAGGUCAUCAAUCACUCUACUGAAAAGGUUAUAAAUUUGAUAAUAAUAUAAUCACUCAAUAUGUCUGCAUGCCACAAUUUACUUUGGCUAUUUGAAUUUUAUUUAUCAUGAGAGAUACAGUUUAGGUCUGUAUUCCUACUCUUCAUGUUAGUGGAUGCAUCCUCUGUUUAUGAUAUACUGACUCUUGAUGGCUAAUGCUCUUUUGUAGGAUGACAUACGUAGGGAAGCUCAAACAAUGAGUUUGAUUGAUCACCCAAAUGUUAUACGGGCAUAUUGUUCAUUUGUAGUUGACCGUAACCUGUGGGUAGUCAUGCCAUUCAUGUCGGAGGGUUCUUGUUUGCACCUCAUGAAGAUAGCUUACCCUGAUGGACUUGAAGAGCCUGCCAUUGGUUCUAUUCUGAAAGAAGCGCUUAAAGCUUUAGAUUAUCUUCAUCGGCAAGGACAUAUUCAUCGAGAUGUUAAGGUCAUUGCAUGAUUGACAUUAUUUUAUCCAAAUGAUUUUAUCAUUCCUGUGCUUUGAUUUUUUAUUUUUUGUUUUUUGUUUUUGACAUUAUAGGCUGGGAACAUACUGCUUGAUAACAAUGGCACAGUAAAGCUUGCUGACUUUGGUGUUUCAGCUUGCAUGUUUGAUGCAGGAGAUAGACAACGUUCUAGAAAUACCUUUGUUGGGACUCCUUGCUGGUGAGCUAUCUUUGUCAAACUGGUCAAAGGAUUGGCUGUAUCCUCUGCUCAUCUCCAGUCAGAUGCUUUUGACAGAGUUCAAUUUUUUUCUUUUCUUUUUUAAUUAUUUGAUAUCCCGAUAUAUCCUUUCUUUGCAGGAUGGCACCAGAGGUCUUGCAGCCAGGAAGUGGAUAUAAUUCCAAGUGAGUUUUAAUAUGUGUUUAUGAUUUUAAAAAUGAUUUUAGGUCUUAGAAUUUUGCCCAAAUACAUUAGGGGACAUAGGUAUUUUCCUCUUCUUGGUAGCAAGGUUUGGUUGUGAUUUUAACCUAAAAGUUGUCCUGAUUUGAUCCGGGCAAGUUAUUUGUUCCAAAACCUCAAAUUUCAUUUUAUCAAUUCAUCAUAGCUUUCUGUUGAAGUACCUAUGUACCUCAAAGCCAUCAGCUUUUCAUAUUCAUUGCAAUGCAUAUUAAAAUAUUAAAAUGGUAUUAUGGCAAUCUGGUUGCAUUUCGUAUAGCUAUUAGGUUUGGAUUGCAUUUAAUAUGACUUUGGUGCUUAUAGAGUCGAUGUAACUUGGUAUAUUUAGAGAAAUGAUCCAUUUUGUUUUCCACCGUAAUUUUGUAAUUUUAUUAAUUGGUUGCAUUAUUGCACAGGGCUGAUAUAUGGUCAUUUGGGAUAACAGCAUUGGAGUUGGCUCAUGGUCAUGCACCUUUUUCAAAAUAUCCACCAAUGAAGGUAUCUAAUCCCAUUUGAAAAAAUAUUAAAUGGUGAGCAAUGAGGGUUUGAUAUAUGAGUUCUUAGUCAACAUUUUAUGUCUUAAAACUUUGCCUUCUAACAAUAAACAGGUUCUCUUGAUGACCAUACAAAAUGCUCCCCCGGGACUUGAUUAUGAUCGUGAUAAGAAGUUCUCUAAGGUACUGCUAUUCUUUCUGGAUACAGUGACAUGCAUUUUAUUUGUCAAUACGUGCACAUAAUGUUGAUUGAGGUGUUUAAUUGUGUUUUGCAAUUGCUUAUUUGUCAUAGCAAAUUUCUAAUUAAAGGACUUCCAGUUGUAAUCAGUCUUUUAAAGAAAUGGUUGCCAUGUGCCUGGUGAAAGAUCAAACAAAGAGGCCUACUGCAGAGAAAUUAUUAAAGCACUCCUUUUUCAAGCAUGCAAAGCCUCCUGAGCUUUCCUUGAAGAAAUUAUUUUCUGAUCUGCCACCACUUUGGAAUCGUGUGAAAGCUCUUCAGGUUGCUGAUCUCACUGCCACAGCUCACAAUGCAGGUGUUUUGUACAUUUUUCCACAAUGUUUGUUGAAUGUAAUCCUUCUUCUUUUCUGCAGCUUAAAGAUGCUGCACAACUAGCUCUAAAGAAAAUGCCUUCAGCAGAACAAGAAGCUUUAUCACAGGUUAGGAGUCAUCAAUCAGAAGUUAUCUUUAUCUUAAAUUGUAUUUGCCUUUGCUUCAAAUAACAUAUCUGUGAAAGUUUUAGCUGUUGAGUUGGGUGCAGUUGUAUUUUCUUACUGCUGGGGGUGUUAUCUUGUCUUUGUUUGUCAGAGUGAGUAUCAAAGAGGAGUAAGUGCCUGGAAUUUUGAUCUUGACGAUUUGAAAGCGCAAGCAUCUUUGGUAGGACAUAUUUUUAGCUUUACCUUUAAUAAUAAAUAUUUUAAUAUAGAGACAUAGUAUGCAAUUUAAUUUCUUUGCUGGUUAUAUCAAUUAGUGUAUACUAAUUUUUUUCACUUUAACAUUCUAAGGUCUGUGAUGAUGAUGACAUUCAUGAGUGCAAAGAUGAUGAUGAAAGCAUGAAAUCACGCCUUGGUCAUAAGGUCAGCAGUUGUAUUAUUUUUUUGCCUCAGAAAUCUGUGAUACAUCUUUGGACUAGGUUGAAAUACUACCUUCUGUACUUAUGUAACUUGAAAUUGUAUUUUUGCCAAAUUUUUCCUUUAUAACAAACUACAUAAUUGGUUCUUGUUAUUGGCUGACAUGACAGGCUACAGCUUACUGUGAACCUAGUUUGGGAAAGUUGAGUUUAAAUAGGGAAGUAUCUCAGGCUGAAUGUAGAGGUCCAGGGAGUAUCGAGUUAUUACAAAUUGAUUGCUUGAAUGGAAAGGGAAAGAAUCUGGAAUGCGAUAUAGUUGAAGCUGGUUGCCAGGAGAUUCUCGGUUUGAAGAAAAAUGGAUCAAUCAUUGAUGUUAUGGGAUCAACUUCAGAAAAGGAUGUGGUCUUAACCAGGGCUAAUACAGUGAAACCUAGGGAAACCCAAACCGGGCCACUCACACCUGGUGUUGUUCUUAGUCGUUCAUCUGAAAGGUGAGCUGUAUUUCAUGCUUAGGUUUGCUUGGGUGUUUCAUAUGACUUCUCUCUAUGGGCUUUUAAACUGAUAUGAACCUGUUUUUAUUCACGUGAUCUUUUUUUUUUUUGGCAUAAGCAUGAACACAUUUGAUUCUAAUUUUAGUCUAAAUUGAAGCUUAUAACAUGGGAACAGGACUCAAUCUGCUAUAUGACGGCUGUAAGCCAUGAUUAGCAUUUUAACUUCAAACAUGAAUGUAGGUCUUUCUUUUUGGACUGUUCUAUUGCCUGUGGUUGUGAGAAUAGAUGCAUUCUAUAAAUUGGGCUAGUUAAUUCACUCACAUGUUUUUACUCUGCUGCUGAAUUAUGUUUUAUUAAACAUGGUUUAAAAGUUGAGCUAGUAAAAAUAUACCGCUGUUUUGGGUUAUUUUUUAGCUCUCUCCACCCCCCCCCCAAAAAAAAAGAGAAAAAAAAAAAAAAAAACCAAAACAGAAGGGAAACUCAAGUCUUGAUUCCAAUGUUCUUUGGGUUGAUUCAACCAAACAUUGAUAAUGAUGGAUCGUUUUAAAGUUACUUAUAUAUUAUAGUUUCCUGUGUUAUUUGUUAUUGCUUUGGCCUUGUUAUGGUUUAGAAAUUGAAGGAUAGGAAAGUGAUUUAGCUCAUUUGGUUUCAUAUGUGAUUAAUAUCUUGUCUAUUUUAGCCUAAGAAAAUAAAGUGGAAGAGAAAAUUGUAGAUAUUAAGCCUAUGGUCUGCUGAUGAUUAGGUUUGAGAAUGAAAGUUUACUUGCAAAUGAGAGAGUUCGUCAAGUUCGUAAAGCACCAAGCUUUAGUGGUCCAUUGAUGCUUCCUAAUCGAGCAUCUGGGAACAGCUUAUCAGCUCCAAUUAAACCAUCAGGAGGUAACAAAUUCAUAGCAUUUAGGAUCAUUAUUGUUUUUUUAUCACCUGGGUCACCACCAGUGCUACUAUUAUAGCUGCUAGGAUAUAUAUAUUAUAGCAAAUUUUCUCCUACAACAGGGUUUAGGGAUUGUCUGGAUGAGAAGUCAAAGGCUAGUCUGGUGCAAAUUAAAGGUCGAUUUUCAGUAACAUCAGAAAAUUUAGAUCUUGUAAAGGUAAGACUCAAUUUUAAUACUAUAUUUGUUCUCCCAUGCAACUUCACUAACCAAAUAUUAAUUUCUAGGAUAUUCCUUUAGGUACAGUUUCACGCCGAUCUUUGCAGGUGGGCUAUUGGUCUUUGGCUCUUUGCUUAAAUAUUAUUAUAUUAACAAUAUUAAUUGUCCACUUCUUAUUGGUUGCUCUGUUUCUUCUUGAGUUUCAGACUUCACCUAUCAGAAAGUCUGCUAGCGUAGGGGAUUGGAUACUUGAAUCAAAACAAGUGGUUUGUGAUCUAUAUCUUUCCUUCAACGUGGUUGAUUAUGAAUUUUUGUACUGUUUCAUUUAUUGCAACAUUUUGCAUCUUGAAGCUUAAGGAUCUCUUAUUAACAGAGGAACUGGUAUUAAGGUGUGUGCCCAGGUAAUAAGGUGAGGCAGAAAUCAAGGAAAGUUCCUCUCUUCCUUCUGGUGGGAGACACCUUUAUUGAGGCACAUGCCAUUGAAAAGGCACUGAAAGACUUUCCUCACUCAAACCAACUUUUUUCUGUUUGUUUAUAAUACAACGGGCUGAUAGUAGCAAAAAGAAUUAACUUGUUAUUUUGCUUCAAUAAAGGAAAGGUGCUAACAUCCAUGUAUUAACAACUUGAUAACCACACUUCAUAGAAAUCAAGUCUAUAUUCAUCUCAUCUUUUAUGUAGCCCUAUUUACCUGCUAAUGGAAGCUUUCCAGUAUGUUGCUGCACUAAAUAAAUAAGUUGUUUUCUUAUGGACCAUUUCUUUUCAGGCUAUCAAUCAUGCCCCUAAGGAUUUGACCAAUGGUAGUGUGUCCACAUCGAUUCUUACAACUCACCUUCAAAAUCUUUUCCAGCGAACCUCACUGCAACAGGUAAAGACUUUGAGUUGAGACAGUAUCUUAUUUUGUUUAUAGAGUGCCUGCCUUAAAGAUGAAUGAUGUUCUCACUGGAAAUUUCUUCGGCAUGCUAGGAUCUUAUCGUGAAUUUGUUGAAUAGCUUGCAGCCAGCUGAGGUUGUAGAUGGUCAGUGAAAGCUGAUCUUCCUAUUACUUUGGCAUGAUUAAACUAGGAAAUACAGUGUUUAGCAGUGUAGUAAUCAUUUUUCUAUUUUGUUUUCCAGCCUCACAAAAUGGAAAGUUGCCUGUUCUACCUCGUUCCGAGAGCAAUGGGAAUGUGAGAGCCUUGUCAUUGUUUAGUGUUAAGUAAUUUCAAGUGGUUUCUUCUUUUGUCCCUCUCUGAUCUUCGUGUUGUUUGAAUAGGUUGAACUUGAAACAGCAGCUUCUGAGAGGGAGCGUCUACUGCUCGGCAAGAUCUUAGAGCUACAAUCUAGGUCGGUUGUCAUGAAUUCUAUACCAAGUAAUUUUGUACCUUGGUUUCCCACUACACAUCCAACUUUCUCCUGAUAGUCUCUUUGUUGAACACUUAUUGUGGCAGAAUGAUGAAUUUGAGGGAUGAAUUGAAUGCUGAAAAGUGGAGAUAUGAAGAGGUGAGUUUCUUACAGAGUUUUUAUAUAAAUGAGAAUAGCAGCUUCUACUUUAUUCUACGAUUGCGGUGUCACUGAUUAGAAAAAAAGAAAAAAGAAGCACAUGAUAUAUGGAGUAAUGAUGGGUUAGUAGGGGGUGAUGAUUUGAACAAUGAAAAUGCAGUUGCAACAAGAACUAAGGCUCAUGGCUGGUGCGGAAGAGAAUGGGGAUGAUGCUGCGUGAAAAAGAAUGGGGGCGUCGUUAACAACGUUAGAAACAGAAUACGGCAGGGAGCUCUUUUAAUUACUGAAUAAGCAAAUGUUAUGCGUACAUGACGAGGAUGUUUUCUUCCAUAUUUCCAUGUAAAUAUAAUUUAUAUCCCAGAGUGCAGUGCAGAGGCAAAGCCCAUUUAUUAUUUAUUUAUUAUGGAACGUAACCUAUAAGCUUUGGCUUUCUGUAAAGAACAUCUUCUGUAUAUUAUUAUUGAAAAUUGUAUAUACAUACAUAUACGAAAGUUAUUGAAAUUUGCAAACAAACCAUUUAAGAUCUUAUUAUUUCAACUCCUUUGAACUUGUAUUUAUAUUACCUUGAAUUGUUUUAUCCUUAUAAAAUCGGACUAUUUUAGUAUUAAAAACAAUCUUCGUUUUCUUCCAUGCUUUCCUCUCGCAUAUAUCCCAAGCUCUUUCACCUGUCACUACCUUUCAAAGUCCCUCCAUUAAAAGGUUACAUAAUUUAUGCUUCUUGGGAUAACGUUUUAUGUUUGUCCCAAAAGUAUUUAGUUUCUGCUUAAUUUUUUUUAUAUCUAGUUAGUAUUUGACUUUGUAUUCUUUCAUUCAAGUUGAUAUCUUUGCAUCAUGGUCUGCUUACGCAACACUGAUAACCAAUUUAAAGAUGACAUGUGGCAACUUUUUAACAUGCCAAGUGGUAAACAUAAUUAAAAAAAUAAAAAAAACUUUAAAAAUAUGUACAUUAAUAAAAAAAUAUAAUUUCUUUUGACAUCAAGACCUAAACAAAAGUUUUUGAAUGGACACCUAUCUUAUCUAGAUUCAUUCUAGAUACGUUUUUUUAAUGAGUUUAUAUUUUUAAAUUUUUUUAUAAAAAAUUAAUUUUUUAAGGUUAUUAUUAUUUUGAAAUAUAUAUAAAGUUUAAAUUUAUAAAAAAAUGUAAAACAUAUAUAAUUAAAAAUGUAAAAAAAAAACCUAUAAUAUUUUGAAAAAUAUAUAAAUUUAUAAAAAAUUAUUAAAAUUAUUAAAAAGCACGUCCAGAAGGACUGGACAAUGCUCCAUCUAGUUUGAUUCUUGAUAUCAAUUGUUUUAUUAAUUUAUAUAUUUUAAAAUUUUAUAUAUUUUUAAUUUCAAAAUAAUAAUAUAAAUAGCAUGAUAUUUAUUAAAAAAUUAAAUAUAUAAACCUACUAAAAAAACAUUUGGAAUGAAUUUGGAUUUGUAUUUGGACAAUCAUUGUCCAAAUUCAUUGUUAAUGUUAAAAAAAUUAUACUUUUUUAUUAAUUUAUAUAUUUUUACAUUUUUAUUUAUACUUAGCACAUGACAUGUUAAAAAGCUACUACGUGUCACCUCUGAAUUGACUAUCAGUACACGUUAGUGUAAUAGCCCAAUUUGCCCGCCCAUUCAGAAUAAGCAGAAAAAAAACAAGAAAAAAUAAUUAAAUAUCCACAGUCCAAAUACAUAGGCCCAACAUGGCCCAACAUGGCCCAAAUCGUUUUUAACCUAAACACUAGCCUAGCCCAAUAUCCCAACCCAAUUACAGUAGCCCGAUACUCCGGCCCAAUUACAUUGAAGCCUAAAACGAAAAUUUUCAGAAGCCCCUAGGGUUUCCAGAAUUUUCAGCACCGCAGCCCGCAGGCUCCCCUCCACAUAGCGCCGCUCUCCCCAGCCACAGCCACCUCCGUACUGCCACGUCAGUCUCCGUACGCUGUACCUGCAAGAGGGACAAGCAAACAAAAAGAAGAAGCAGAAAUCGACAGUAAAAAAAAGGGAAAAUAAGAAAAGAGAGCAAAAUACAUUUUCUUUUGUAAUUUUCAUUUUAUUUUCGGCUAUAUAAAGCCAUUCUUUAGCGUUUGUAAGGUUACAGACACACAUAUUGAAAUACAAAAAGAAAAGAAAUCAAAGAUCGGUUUUUUAUAAGGUGAAUCUCAAAGUUGUUUUCGUUGGCUUUUGAUUUUUAUUUUCUCCGAUCUGUUCUUCAUUGUUGUAUACAUAUGUGAAAUAAUAAAAAAGAAAAGAGAGAACCCGUGCCUGGUUAAGCCCGCAGCCGAAUCCCUCGUUGGUUCCGAUCGGAACCGGAUGGUUGGGGGCUCCGAUGUCGAAGCGGCGCGGCUGAACGAGGGGAGGCUAGGGUUUUCAUUUCUUUAGUUUGUUUUCUUAUCACGUUUAAAAUGGCUAAACAUAGGUUUUAUUUCUGAUUUUUUUAGUUUUAGGAAAACCAUGAAACGACACCGUUUGAGGUUUAUUUCAAUAGCUCCAAAACGGUGUCGUAUUGGCCAGGCUCAAUGACCUGAUCCAGACCAGGCCAGAUCCGCGUGUUUUGGUCUUGGAUGGGAUAUUUGCGCCAUUAAUCCCUCUACUUCAGUUGAUAUUUUUAAUUCUGUUUUCUUUAUUUUCUAAAUUGGCCCAAUUGUUUUGAAUUCUGUUCAUUUCGAUCCAUGUUGAAAUGCCGCGUUUUGGAGGGACGGGAUUAUUUCCCAUUUGGUCCCCCAAGUUCUCCGCGUACUACAUUUGGC
rnacentral:lncRNA from 1 species